rnacentral:lncRNA from 1 species
GAUGAUGACUAUGAUGACUAUGAAGACGAGGAACCAAGACGGCGUAGACGUGUGAGGAAGCCAAAAAAAUCGAACGAUGAUAAAGGCACCAACGGUGACAAACCAGCGAGGACAAAUGAUGAGCAAGGCACCAACGGUGGCAAACCAGCGAGGACAAAUGGAAGCCAUGGAAGAAAUAACGAGGAAUUUAGGCCCCCAACCUUGCCGAAGCCGCGAA